CUCCAAAAGAGCACCUACUCCUCGUGCGUUUACCCGGCCGCCCGCAUCCGCAAGUGUGAAGCGCGAAUCCAUGUCCGAAGCUGUGAAGAAUAUCAGCAAAGAGUAGCAUAUUAUGUGUUGUAGUUGUAGGCAAUAGUAGGCAUAUCUGGGUUGUAAUAUACUGUAACGAUUGUAAUAGAUUAAUGCAGUAUUGGUUUGGACCAA